rnacentral:ncRNA from 1 species
CUUGUGGAGAGUAUACAAAGAUGUGAGUAGUAUUUGAAUUUAUUCAAUGCAAAAACAUACUCGAUGGAGCAAGAA